UACGUAGGGGGCUAGCGUUGUCCGGAAUCAUUGGGCGUAAAGAGCGUGUAGGCGGUCCGGUAAGUCCGCUGUGAAAGUCGGGGGCUCAACCCUCGAAUGCCGGUGGAUACUGUCGGGCUAGAGUGCGGAAGAGGCGAGUGGAAUUCCUGGUGUAGCGGUGAAAUGCGCAGAUAUCAGGAGGAACACCGGUGGCGAAGGCGGGUCUCUGGGCCGAUAUUGACGCUGAGGAGCGAAAGCGUGGGGAGCGAACAGG
rnacentral:rRNA from 1 species